UACGAAGGGGGCUAGCGUUGUUCGGAAUUACUGGGCGUAAAGCGCGCGUAGGCGGUGAUCUUUGUCAGAGGUGAAAGCCCGGGGCUCAACUCCGGAAUUGCCUUUGAAACGGGAUCGCUAGAGUCCGAGAGAGGAUGGCGGAAUUCCUAGUGUAGAGGUGAAAUUCGUAGAUAUUAGGAAGAACACCGGUGGCGAAGGCGGCCAUCUGGCUCGGUACUGACGCUCAGGCGCGAAAGCGUGGGGAGCAAACAGGAUUAGAUACCCUGGUAGUCCACGCCGUAAACGAUGGGUGCUAGUUGUUAGGAAGUUUACUUCUUAGUGACGCAGCUAACGCGUUAAGCACCCCGCCUGGGGAGUACGGUCGCAAGAUUA
rnacentral:rRNA from 1 species